rnacentral:lncRNA from 1 species
GUGCCCAAUUCCAAGUAAUCUUUAUGCUACAAAUGUCUGACUGCCCAGAAACAAUCUACAGUCAAUGUGGGCCAACUACAUGAAAUGAAAACAACCAAUCUAUAGCAAGAGAGUCAAAUUCGAAGAAUGCACCGAAAAAGGAAGAGACAGAGGAAAUACUUUUUCCCCCAAUGUAUUGAACAGCCUCCAAGAUGAAAUGCCAGAAGA